CACGUAGGGCGCAAGCGUUGUCCGGAUUUAUUGGGCGUGAAGAGCGUGUAGGCGGUUAGGUAGGUCCGUUGUGAAAACUCGAGGCUCAACCUCGAGACGCCGAUGGAAACCAUCUGACUAGAGUCCGGAAGAGGAGAGUGGAAUUCCUGGUGUAGCGGUGAAAUGCGCAGAUAUCAGGAAGAACACCCGUGGCUAAGGCGGCUCUCUAGUACGGUACUGACGCUGAGACGCGAAAGCGUGGGGAGCGAACAGG
rnacentral:rRNA from 1 species